rnacentral:rRNA from 1 species
UACGGAGGGGGCUAGCGUUGUUCGGAAUUACUGGGCGUAAAGCGCACGUAGGCGGUUUUGUAAGUUAGAGGUGAAAGCCCGGAGCUCAACUUCGGAAUUGCCUUUAAGACUGCAUCACUUGAACGUCGGAGAGGUGAGUGGAAUUCCGAGUGUAGAGGUGAAAUUCGUAGAUAUUCGGAAGAACACCAGUGGCGAAGGCGGCUCACUGGACGACUGUUGACGCUGAGGCACGAGAGCAUGGGUAGCGAACAGG